rnacentral:rRNA from 1 species
CAACAGGGAUUGCCCUAGUAACGGCGAGUGAAGCGGCAACAGCUCAAAUUUGAAAUCUGGCGUCUUCGGCGUCCGAGUUGUAAUUUGCAGAGGGCGCUUUGGCAUUGGCAGCGGUCCAAGUUCCUUGGAACAGGACGUCACAGAGGGUGAGAAUCCCGUACGUGGUCGCUAGCCUUUACCGUGUAAAGCCCCUUCGACGAGUCGAGUUGUUUGGGAAUGCAGCUCUAAAUGGGAGGUAAAUUUCUUCUAAAGCUAAAUACUGGCCAGAGACCGAUAGCGCACAAGUAGAGUGAUCGAAAGAUGAAAAGCACUUUGGAAAGAGAGUUAAAAAGCACGUGAAAUUGUUGAAAGGGAAGCGCUUGCAGCCAGACUUGCCUGUAGUUGCUCAUCCGGGUUUCUACCCGGUGCACUCUUCUAUAGGCAGGCCAGCAUCAGUUUGGGCGGUUGGAUAAAGGUCUCUGUCAUGUACCUCUCUUCGGGGAGAACUUAUAGGGGAGACGACAUGCAACCAGCCUGGACUGAGGUCCGCGCAUCUGCUAGGAUGCUGGCGUAAUGGCUGUAAGCGGCCCGUCUUGAAACACGGACCAAGGAGUCUAACAUCUAUGCGAGUGUUUGGGUGUCAAGCCCGAGCGCGUAAUGAAAGUGAACGGAGGUGGGAACCUUUCGGGGUGCACCAUCGACCGAUCCUGAUGUCUUCGGAUGGAUUUGAGUAAGAGCAUAGCUGUUGGGACCCGAAAGAUGGUGAACUAUGCUUGAAUAGGGUGAAGCCAGAGGAAACUCUGGUGGAGGCUCGCAGCGGUUCUGACGUGCAAAUCGAUCGUCAAAUUUGGGCAUAGGGGCGAAAGACUAAU